rnacentral:rRNA from 1 species
UUAGAGUUUGAUCCUGGCUCAGGAUGAACGCUAGCGGCAGGCUUAACACAUGCAAGUCGAGGGGCAGCAUGUCCAGCAAUGGAUGAUGGCGACCGGCGGAAGGGUGCGUAACGCGUGAGCAACAUGCCCUAUACAGGGAGAUACACCAGGGAAACUUGGUCUAAUAUCCCAUAGCAUUCAUUGAAGGCAUCUUUAAUGAAUUAAAGCUUCGGUGGUAUAGGAUUGGCUCGCGUGACAUUAGCCAGAUGGUGAGGUAACGGCUCACCAUAGCAAUGAUGUCUAGGGGUUUUGAGAGGAAGGCCCCCCACGCUGGGACUGAGACACGGCCCAGACUCCUACGGGAGGCAGCAGUGAGGAAUAUUGGUCAAUGGGCUAAAGCCUGAACCAGCCAUCCCGCGUGCAGGAUGACGGCCUUAUGGGUUGUAAACUGCUUUUCUACAUAAAGAACGGGUCUUACGUGUAAGGCAUUGACGGUAGUGUAGGAAUAAGCAUCGGCUAACUCCGUGCCAGCAGCCGCGGUAAUACGGAGGAUGCAAGCGUUAUCCGGAUUUAUUGGGUUUAAAGGGUGCGCAGGCGGAAAGAUAAGUCAGUGGUGAAAAACUGCCGCUUAACGGUAGUCUUGCCAUUGAUACUGUUUUUCUUGAGUAUGGAUGAGGUAGGCGGAAUGUGCAGUGUAGCGGUGAAAUGCAUAGAUAUUGCACGGAACUCCGAUUGCGAAGGCAGCUUACUGGACCAUUACUGACGCUCAGGCACGAAAGCGUGGGUAGCAAACAGGAUUAGAUACCCUGGUAGUCCACGCAGUAAACGAUGUUCACUCGCUGUUUGCGAUAUACAGUAAGCGGCUUAGUUAAAGCAUUAAGUGAACCACCUGGGGAGUACGAUCGCAAGGUUGAAACUCAAAGGAAUUGACGGGGGCCCGCACAAGCGGAGGAACAUGUGGUUUAAUUCGAUGAUACGCGAGGAACCUUACCUGGGCUUAAAUGCAGGAUGCAUGCUGUGGAAACACACUUCCCUUCGGGGCUUCCUGCAAGGUGCUGCAUGGUUGUCGUCAGCUCGUGCCGUGAGGUGUCGGGUUAAGUCCCAUAACGAGCGCAACCCUUACCGUUAGUUGCCAUCAGGUCAAGCUGGGGACUCUAUCGGGACUGCCACCGUAAGGUGAGAGGAAGGUGGGGAGGACGUCAAAUCAGCACGGCCCUUAUGUCCAGGGCUACACACGUGUUACAAUGGCCGGUACAGAGGGUAGCUACCCCGCGAGGGGAUGCCAAUCUUAAAAGCCGGUCUCAGUUCGGAUUGGAGUCUGCAACCCGACUCCAUGAAGUUGGAUUCGCUAGUAAUCGCACAUCAGCCACGGUGCGGUGAAUAAGUUCCCGGGCCUUGUACACACCGCCCGUCAAG